rnacentral:rRNA from 1 species
GACGAACGCUGGCGGCGUGCUUAACACAUGCAAGUCGAACGGAAAGGCCCUGCUUUUGUGGGGUGCUCGAGUGGCGAACGGGUGAGUAACACGUGAGUAACCUGCCCUUGACUUUGGGAUAACUUCAGGAAACUGGGGCUAAUACCGGAUAGGAGCUCCUGCUGCAUGGUGGGGGUUGGAAAGUUUCGGCGGUUGGGGAUGGACUCGCGGCUUAUCAGCUUGUUGGUGGGGUAGUGGCUUACCAAGGCUUUGACGGGUAGCCGGCCUGAGAGGGUGACCGGCCACACUGGAAGGGAGAGAAGGUCAAGAUGCCUAAGGGAGGCAGCAGGGGGGAAUAGGGGACAAGGGGCGCAAGGCGGAGCCAGACAGACCGCGGGGGUGAAGACGGCCUUCGGGGUGUAAAGGCGGUUGGGGGGGAAAGAAAAGCAGAAGGGUCAGACAACGCGGGGCGGACGGUACCGAAAGAAGAAGCACCGGCUAACUUCGUG